rnacentral:rRNA from 1 species
UACAGAGGUCUCGAGCGUUGUUCGGAUUCAUUGGGCGUAAAGGGCGCGUAGGUGGCGCGAGUAGUCAACGGUGAAAGCCCGGGGCUCAACCCCGGGUCGGCCGUCGAUACUCUCGUGCUUGAGCACUGUAGAGGCAGGUGGAAUUCCGGGUGUAGCGGUGGAAUGCGUAGAGAUCCGGAAGAACACCGGUGGCGAAGGCGGCCUGCUGGGCAG